UGGCUCAGAACGAACGCUGGCGGCAGGCCUAACACAUGCAAGUCGAGCGAACGUAGCAAUACGUUAGCGGCAGACGGGAGAGUAACACGUGGGAACGCGCCCUUCGGUUCGGAAUAACUCAGGGAAACUUGGGCUAAUACCGAAUACGCCCUUACGGGGAAAGAUUUAUUGCCGAAGGAACGGCCCGCGUCCGAUUAGCUAGUUGGUGAGGUAAUGGCUCACCAAGGCGGCGAAAGGUAGCUGGUCUGAGAGGAUGACCAGCCUCACUGGGAUUGUCUCACGGCCCAUGAUCCUACGGGAGGCA
rnacentral:rRNA from 2 species